GCGCCAACACAGCAACUUAAGUCCCCCACUUUUUAUUUUUCUUCGAUAUGUCGCAGGUAUAUUUUACAAGCAACGUAAACUGUGUAAACAGUUGAUUGACUCAUAACUGACUAGUUCUUAAAAUUUUCAAAGCGAUUACGAUUGCCAUUUGUAAAUAAUUUACUAACUUUUCUAGAAGUUAAAAAAAUAAUGUAACUUCUCAAAAAGAGAAAAAAAUAAUCCAACAUAUCGUAAAAAAUUACUUUAAUAAAUGUGAAUUUAUUUCAAAUAUAUAAUGAGUGUGGCAGUGUGGUGUAUUCAAACUUUUAUUUUGCGGCCAUUGCAAUCAUUAUGGCUGAUGUGUAAAAAAAAGACAAUUUCUUGGAAAUCACAAAUUUUAUAAAAAGGCUGUUACAAAAAUGUUCAAUCAUAAACCUAAAGAUGUUCAAGGCAGUUACAUCAAAACGGAAAAAAAUCAAAAUAUUUAUUAUUUAAGGUUUCUUCGAAACAUUGUAAGUUAAACUGCUAUUAGAAUAAGUCCGAGGGAGAUGGCCAAUUAAAAAAUUUUACAGAAUUUGUAAAAAAGUGUAACUUAUUAUGGGUUAUUCUUCAACUUUUUGUGACUAAAACUAAAUGUAAACAAUAAAUUCUUGAAAAGUCAUAAAAAUGUAA